rnacentral:rRNA from 1 species
GAUGAACGCUGGCGGCGUGCCUAAUACAUGCAAGUCGAGCGAACGGACGAGAAGCUUGCUUCUCUGAUGUUAGCGGCGGACGGGUGUGUAACACGUGUAUAACCUACCUAUAAGACUGGGAUAAUUUCGGGAAACCGUAGCUUAUCCCGGAUAACAUUUUGAACCGCAUGGUUCAAAAGUGAAAGACGGUCUUGCUGUCUCUUCUAGCUGGAUCUGCGCUGCAUUAGCUAGUUGGUAAGGUAACGGCUUACCAAGGCAACGAUGCGUGACCGACCUGUGAGACUGGUAGCCCACCCGAGAGCUGAGACACGGUCAAGACUCCUACGGGAGGCAGCAGUAGCGAAUCGGACGCAAUAGGCGAGAGCAUGGCAGAACGGGGGCGCGUGAGAGGUAGAGGUCUUCGGAGCGUAAAGCUCGGUUAUUGGUGAAAAACAUAUUUGUAAUUAACUGAGCACAGCGUGACGGUACCUAAUCAAAAAGCAACGGCUAACUACGUG